AUUUUUCGUCUUCCGCUUGGAUGUAAUCCGCAUUGUUACUAAAAAUAAGUACGCCACUGAACCAACCUUGCCCAACAGGCUCCGCAGGAUCGUGAAUGCCGAAGACUUCUAAGAAUAACGACACAAAUGCGAUCCAAGACAUGUGAGUCGUGUAUCAUGUCCCCUUCUCAAAGGUUUUACUCUUUUUAGACAGACACUUAACUAUUAUUCAUUAUGCGUUCUCCCUUACAAUAACAGCAGUCUUCGUCAUGACUUAAGAACUGCAUGGCAACGUGUUCGGGACACACUUUAAAAAUGGACGUAAAUGAAGUACAAAAUGAAAGCAUAAUAAUUAGUGAUAAUAUUACUAAUGCUGGCAAUGUUACAAACAUUGGAAGACUAUCGGAAGCACAGUGGGUUAAUAUUAUUUAUUUUGUUUUAUUAGUUUGUGGCAGUGUUGUUAAUCUAGUUCACAUUUUGGCGUUAAUAAGAAGCAAACGCAGUGGUAUUUUAUCUCUGGUACUGCAAAUAUCAGUAGUAGAUAUUUGUCUACUUUAUGUGGCAGUCAACGAAGUCCUUGCACUCUAUCAUAAAAGCUGGUAUUUUCCACCUGAAUUUUGUCCAUUCUUCAAGGGAGCAGAAGUACUGUUGAAUACACUAACGAUCUACCUGCUGAUAUGUUACAAUUUCCAUGUGAUUUCACUCUGGAAUCUUCAUGAGCUGGAACUCAAGAAAAAUAACAAAAAUCCCCUCACAUCGUGUAAUGCCAACAGUGACGAUUCCAACGAAUGUCUUGUAACGAAACAAGAAAAUCGUUUAGUGACUAUCGAUUAUAGAAAACGGAAGGACGACAUCUCCGUCAUUUUCCCCACAAUUUUUAUAUGGAUUGUUAGUUUAUCACUUAGUAUUCCUAAUUUUACAUUAUCAUCAACGCUUAAACUUAAAAAUAGUUAUGUACUUUGUGCUGUUAUAGAUGUAUAUUAUGGACAAGUGUUACAAUAUUCGUUACUUAUUUUUAAAGUAGUUUUACCGAUCGUACUCUUAUUUCUUAGUCUGAUUGUUCUGACCAUAAAGUUAACCCAAACAUCGAAAACUGAUAUUGACAAUAUUUUGACCAAAAAAAUGAAUGAGAUUAGAAGGCUUGUAAUUUUUGGAAUAGUGGUGACAGUCUUGUAUUUUUUAACUUCUUUCCAACGGCAUUUUUUACAUUUUGUUCAUAUUAUUUCAUGUUCAUUUAAUAAAAGCACUGUGAAUAAUUUUAAAAUGCCACCACUGUCUAACAUUUUUCUCAGUACGUCCAACAUGAUGUAUCUUGCGAUCUUACAUUAUAGUGGUACUGCCAUUAGACCGUUAUUGUGUCUUAUAGUUUUGCCCAAAUUCCCACAUCUAGUUAGAACAAAAAUCUUUCCUUGUUGUAUACUUAAAAAAUAAAACAAUGUAUAAAUUAAGAA